CUGUGUCAAUUUAAGUAAGUGCAAUUGGAAAAUUAAAAAACGUAGAUGUGUUGAAUUCACAAUUUAUUUAAACGUUCCAAAAAAUAAGUUGGAAGUACACAUUUACUCAACGUGGCCUCCAUUUCUAAGUUCACACAAGUUCGUUCUUUGUCUCAUAUCCAAGACAACUCUUCUUCUUCCUGAGUUUCCUUUAUUUCGAUUUAAACUUUAUGGGGUGGUUCUUCCAUUCAAUGCAUGCAGCCGGUAUUUGUUGACAUUACGCCAAACGCUCGAUGAAGAUUACGUCCUGGAAAAGCUAUUUGAAAUUGUCUUAAUACUCCAACAACGCUUUUUGUUUCGAAAUACUUUUCAACAAUGAAUGUUCUUUCCGGAAUUGUUAGCUUUGGCAUUAUGAAUGGUGAUUGUAAAGUUUUAAACAACAACGUUCUAAAUUUUAGCAAACUACCUUUAAUUAAGUCCCC